CAAACGACUCUCGGCAACGGAUAUCUCGGCUCUCGCAUCGAUGAAGAACGUAGCGAAAUGCGAUACUUGGUGUGAAUUGCAGAAUCCCGCGAACCAUCGAGUCUUUGAACGCAAGUUGCGCCCGAAGCCGUCAGGCCGAGGGCACGUCUGCCUGGGCGUCACGC
rnacentral:rRNA from 1 species